GCAGGUAGAGCUCCAUGGUAGAGUGUGUGCUUAGCAUGCAAAAGGUCCUGGGUUCAAUCCCCAGCACCUCCA
rnacentral:tRNA from 1 species